rnacentral:lncRNA from 1 species
GUUAUUCUACUACAAGUCGUGCUUAUCGUGCGUACAAUUUACGAUCUAAGACGGUGAUAGAAUCUAUCAAUAUAAAAGUAGAUGAAGCUUCUUCUGUAAGUUCUUCUGUGAAUGGUUCUUCUACUUCUUUGGUGAAUGAUGAUGAUAAUGAUUCUCCAUUUGUAUUGCCUGUGAAUGAUGAUGUUUCUGCACUUGACAAUUCCAUUGCAUCUUCUGAAAAUGUU